CUCUUAUUUUCCGUUAGCUUUGAUGUCACUCCUUUGGAUGAGCAUUUGCCAUGAAACGGCGGGUGUUCCUCAAAAGAUUAUUAUAAUCAUGAUAUAUGCGAAUUUAUCUUUUUAUUUCUAUUAAACGAUACGAAACAGCAUUUGACUCUGAAAUAAUUUGGAUAGGUUCGUGCUUCAUCACGAUUAGCAUUAGUCAGCAUAAUUGAAUUGGAACUAAAACAUGAGGGUUGUCCAUGUUCUCCUCAUUCAUGUUCCUGACUUGUUAUAUGUUAACGGAGGUGUUCAGAAAACGUAUGUCCUAAGCUCGGGAUAAGCCUAUUUAUCUUCGAAAACUUCUGUAAUUCCCUGCUGAUGCAAUGGAGGAAUUGGUUGUGCAACUUUAAAGACAAAAAUAACUUCUGUAAGGUUGCAAGCAUUCAUCGGCAAAGAUGUGAAACUUGUCUGAGAAGGAUACAAAUGACUGCAUUACUUGCAAUGGAUAUCUAUGGAUAUGCAAACGAAUUCUCUUUGAAUGGGAAAUCCGACCAAGCAGACUGCAUUAGGGUCUUCUGUUCCAAAACAAACAAGCCUCAAGCUGCAAUAUACGUCUACUUAUGGACGGAUUUAAACCUUCAUAACAGAGGUUUCUCAAGAACAGUAUCAAGCGUUUACUAAACGGAAUUGUUCAUGGUGAUAUUUUUUAUUUAAACUAGUUUAAGAUCAGAAAUUACCUUGUAUAUAUCGAAACUAGUUCACCAACUAAUAUUAUAUCCCUAUUCUAAUUGUAGUGAAGUAAUAUUUAAACAAAUAUCCUAAAUUUGAAUAUAUACUUAGAAGGCUUGAAAACGUUUUUUGAUCUUGAAUUCUAACUUCAAAUUUGUCAUUUAGCAAGCACUCUUUAAUUUUAUAAAAUUCUUGCAAGACCUUACGUUAUAAGAAAUGUUUGAUUUUUCGAAAUGUAAAACCUAACUGGUUCUAUUUAUGACAAAUUAAAGGAUGUUAUUGAUUCACUUCAAAUAAAACCUUAGUCAUAUUAGAGAACAAAACUUCAAGCAAUUUCAAUUGUUAUCAGAAUCUUGGCUGUUUUAGCGUUAAAGAUACUAUCGGGGAGCUGCUUGCAAAGCAUGCGAUUUCCAGUUAUAUUUUAUCUAAAAUUUAUUUUGUGUAUAAAUCAAACUAUCGCAUUUUAUUUCAUGAAAUACUCCACAAAAAGAAUUUAUAUAGACGGAUAUAAAAAUUGUUUCCUUCACUAGCCACAUUUCGGAAGCAAAUACUUCUGCUCCAUAUUGAAAUUCAUGAAGCUUCAUAUUUAUUCAUCUGAACUUCGCUUAUUCGAUAGUUGAGUAUUUUAAGCAGGAAGAUUAGCACUUGAUGCGACUAUUUUGUUGAGUAUUUGGACGAACAUCUGACUCGCAGGCAUUCAUUUGUAGUUUUUUCAAAUGUACUUCAAUCUUGGAAGUGUCUGUUAAUGUUCCAUAUCAGAAUAAAGGAUUCGAUCAGUUUUGAAGAAUUCUAAAGCGAUAUUGAGGGCUCCAUACUACAACAAAUCUGAAUUUUGGAAUGUACCAAUCCAAUUUAAAUUUGAUUUUUCAUUCACGUGAGCACAAAAACACGACUUCACAUGUCUGAACUGCCGAAUUAAAGCUGUAAAUUUCGUAAAUUUACAGCUAAUACAUAUUCCAAUAAAGAUACAUUUAUACACAUGGUUAGAUGAGGCAUACUUACACAUAGGCAAAAAUUUGAAUGAGUCCAAUCAGUUAGUUUAAAUUUAAUCAUUUCAAAAUUAUCUCAAUCGUUCUUAAUUCAAAUCUUUAUCACAUACUCAAGCAAUUCAUUCGUCCAAAUAUCGCAGUUGCAGUGAUUUGAAGAAAUUUCGAAUUUUGCCUGACUCCAAUAUUAAAGUAUAAAUUUAAGCUUCUUUAUAAAAGAUAGGAUACAUGGGAAAAAUAAGGGGAAGUGCGUGCGCACGCUUAAGUUGAGAUUAGGAUAAGAAAGCUAAGAUGGGUUCAUUAUAGAAAUGGGAGUUAAGAAUAGCUUGCCCCCCCCCCCUUGCUUCCCUUGCUUCACGAAAAGGAUGGGAUAGGUGUCAGCCGGCUGGCGACAGGGUGGGAAGGUAUUUAUAUCGCUAUAUUUAACGCUACUAACCCAUAUUAUAAAGAAGCUUAAUUUAUAGUUUCAAUUUUGGUAGGAUGGGAAAUUUGAAUUUCUCCAAAGCUGCAGCAUUCCCUAAUUUCAAUAUUCAUCACAUUUAUGUUAGAAUGAACUCCAUGGGACAUGCUUUUUAGGCAUUUUUCCAGAAAAUACAGAUUGGUUCUUCCUGUUAUCUUCAAAUAAAACGAGCAUCAUUUCAAAAUAGAUUGAUUUCUUUAGUUCAAAACUUUCAUUAAUCAAGCGUCAAUCUCCUCGAACUUCUUGCUUAUAUUUUAAAACAUUAAAGACAAUAGUCAGUUAACAUGUCAUAAAUUUUAAUUCUUCUGUGAAACUGCAACUAAGUACAAAAUAUUUUAUCAAUUUAUCAGCAGUAAUUAUCUUCUGGUGUGUCUUGUAUGACUUAAUUGUUCUAUUAAACAUUCUCCGAAUAACGGCCAAUGAAUAUUUCACAUGAUUACAAGAUAUUUUGUUUCUCCCAAAUUGUAAUAUUACGGUUACUGAAAGCAACUUUAAUACUAUAGGCACACAUUUAAGUAACUGCUUUUGAUAUUUCUAACUCUCGAAGAUUUUCGUUUCUUUUCACCACAUACCUUCGAACUCAAUCUCUCAUAUUCCCAGUCACGGGAAUUCGUAUAUCAGGAAAGAUUUAUUGAGAAAGAAACGUGUUAAAAUUGAUAUUCAAUACACUAUAUAUCACUAAAGGAAUUAUACAAUAAAACUAUAAAAGGGCAUUUGGUAAAAAGUUCCUAAAAUGUGAUGUAAAUUUUGAAUUUCUUGGAGAAAUUCCCGAUUAAGGAUAUCAAUAAAAAUUAUCCUGAACUUGUAUGGAGAAAUCAGGUCUUCAUCUUUCUGGAGAAACCACUCAGUUUCUGAUUUUGAUGUUGGACAUUUUAUUUUUCUCGUUGUUCAUCAACUUGGUUCGAUAUGAUCGAUGGAAUUAAGAUUGAAAGUAGUUGAGAGUGCAGCUAUUGACGUAAUGAAGUGGGUCGUGGUCAAGAUCUUUGUUGAACCGCUUGAAGUAUGGCAGGAAUAGACUGUUUUCAAUGGGUCUUUCCUGUUCCAUAAUACUGGAUUAAGGGAGACUUAAGGUUGUUUUGAUAAAUGUCUUCUAUUUAAGUCAUUAUCCCAUUUCUUUCAUUGCUGACGACACAAUGCAUUUAGUAUACUUUAAAGGAAGCUUCUUAGAAUGAGAGGAACGGACAAGGACCGGUCAUUUCAAAGGAAACCUGUAGAAAUAGGCUAUUUGGCUAAGGAAUCUCCUGCUUCAUAGUCCUUGUGACUUUGUGCUGUAACAAAUUAUAAUUGAAUAGAUGGGUGUACGAGUAGAAUUUGUAUUUCUUAUGCCAUUGGGUUUGAAGACGUUGCACUUAUCUCCUUUAAGCCGAAUGAUAGCUCUGUAUAUCUUGCGAAUUUUCUCCUAUUUGCUUACUUACACGCUCUUUUAAUGGUUAGAAGUGCAGGCAAAAAGUCAAUUUUCAUCCAAUUUUCUUGUCUUUCAAUAGGUAAGAUGGUUAUUUCAGAAGACUCGAAAGGCAAAGCCAGUUUGUUCUUCAAUCAGUCAAAAUAUUGGACUUAUUCAAAGACUGGAAUUCUUAAUUUGGCGAGAUUGUCUUUUAAGAGGAAAUCUGAAUGAUGAACUUUCGAAUAGAGGCAUUUGGUUUAGCAGGCCUGUGGUUGGAAAUGUUAAUAUGCCUAGUCAUUUCCAGAGCUUGAAAUGAGUUGUAGCUUAGCCUGUUUCUGCUUGCACUCUAAUGUGGACGUAUUGGAUUCGUUCAAUGGCUUGUUACACUGCAGUGGACGUUGCGUAAAAUCUUCAAGGACAUUGACAUGCAUGUUCAGUUUUAACUUAAAAUAUAACUUCUGAUAUUUUGAAUGAAUACAUCCCUAGCAGAAUAAAUUUCUGCAUAUCUAUAAAAGAAUUUUCUGCAAAUGCUUCAAAUUUUGGCAUCUAAUGGGCUAUUUGUCUGUUAUGCAAAUAGUUUUAAACUCAUGUGUGCCAAAACAAAUUCCAAAUUAUUUAAUUCUGCAUCAGUGGAAAAGAGCCCCAUUUUCUUUUGAUGUGUAGGAAUGGAAUUUUCAAUAAGAGUGCUUGCUUUCAUUGGAAAUUUUCUAAAGUUAUUAAUUAAAUGUAUUUUAUCUGAAAAUAUCCUAAUACUCCAAUAAACCAAAUCUAUAAAUUUUUAUAGUAGUUGGGGAAUUAUUUCAUACAAAAUCGAAAUAGUGUUGGAAUUUAUUUUUAUUUGUUAAUCGCACUGCACCUGUAUAACUAUUCGUUUCAAUAUAUUGUCAGUUUGUUUCUGAAAUUUAAGAAUUUUUCUAAUAACAUACUAUGUAAGCAAGUCUUACAGAUCUGCUUAAUCUAAAGCAUGAAAUGGUUGGAGUCUUUCUAUUUGGUUUAAUUAAAUGUUAGUACAAGGCUAUUAAGUUAUUGUAUUUUUGCUUUAUUGUAUACUUUGUAUUCUAAUGUUACUGCAUAAGUUAAAUAUAGAUUAAAUGCUUAGAAUAAGUUUAAGUUGGAUGAUGUUUAAUUGAAAGUACAAAUUUUCUGAGAUUUAGUAAAAACGCAUCUAUCUACAUAAAGACUGACAAGAUUAUUUAAGGGCAAAUUUGGUCGUCUGAUUCUUACGUAAAAUUCAUAAAUUCCACAUUAAAGGUCUUGCUUUCCCAUUUCCACUUAUGCCUUUCACUAACUUAUUUGGAGCAAUUAUAAAUAAUGCGGCUACUUUAUAAAUACUGGCAACAUUAAUUUAUAGCCGA